ensembl:snRNA U6 U6 spliceosomal RNA
AUACUCUCUUUGGCAGCACAUAUGCUGAAAUUGAGAUGAUACAGAGAUGAGCAAGGCCUAUGUGCUAGAAUGACAUCCAAAUUCAUGAAGCAUUCUGUAUUUUG